rnacentral:rRNA from 1 species
AUGAUGGAGAAUCAUCAGAUCGAGAUGGGGGCUUUCAAGGCAAACGGCCUGGAUGUGCCCAACGGCGUGCUGCGGUCGACCAUGAUCCCGUCCUGGAGCUUGCACACCACCGUGAAGAGAGUAUUGCAGAGCAUCAGGACCGUCAUAUUCACCUCCAAGCUCAACCUGCUCAUGCCCUUUGGGCCUGCGACGAUCGUUCUGUACUACACUACGGAUUGGCAUGGAGUGAUUUUUCUUUUCAGCAUGCUAGGAAUAACACCGUUAGCUGAGCGUCUGGGUUAUGCAACUGAGCAGCUUGCGGUAUACACUGGUCCAACACUUGGAGGCCUUCUGAAUGCCACGUUUGGGAAUGCAACUGAGAUGAUAAUAGCAAUAUAUGCUUUGAAAAAUGGGAUGAUCCGAGUAGUUCAGCAAUCGCUAUUGGGUUCUAUAUUAUCAAAUAUGCUAUUGGUGGUUGGUUGUGCUUUCUUUGCUGGUGGUAUUAUUCAUCGCAACAAAGACCAAGUCUUCAGCAAGGCAACUGCUGUUGUUAACUCAGGUUUACUGUUGAUGGCUGUUAUGGGGCUGAUGUUUCCUGCUGUCCUUCAUUUCACAAAAUCAGAAAUACAGCAAGGAGCUUCUGAGCUUGCUCUUUCAAGAUUCAGUAGUUGUAUUAUGCUCGUGGCAUAUGCAAGCUAUCUUUAUUUUCAACUAAGUGCACGGAAUAGCAGUUACAGUCAAAUUGGCAGUGAAGAAGUGCCUAAUGAGGAUGCCACCGAGGAAGAUGAAGAGGUAGAGAUUAGCAUGUGGGAGGCUAUUGCGUGGCUUGCAGUGUUAACGAUAUGGAUUUCUGUCCUUUCUGAGUACCUGGUUAAUGCCAUUGAGGGAGCAUCUGAUUCAUUGCACCUACCAGUGGCUUUUAUCAGUGUUAUUUUGCUUCCUAUCGUGGGCAAUGCAGCAGAACAUGCUAGCGCAAUAAUGUUUGCGAUGAAAGAUAAGCUCGACAUAACAAUAGGUGUUGCAAUUGGAUCAUCAACGCAGAUAUCAAUGUUUGUGAUUCCAUUUUGUGUUGUCGUUGGUUGGAUGAUGGGGCAAAAGAUGGACUUGAAUUUCCAACUAUUUGAGACAGCAACUCUCUUCAUAACAGUGCUUGUCGUGGCAUUUAUGCUACAGGAUGGCAUUGCAAACUAUCUGAAAGGACUUAUGCUGGUUCUGUGUUAUCUAAUAGUUGCUGCCAGUUUCUUUGUCCAUGUCGAUCCACAAGCCAGCGAUGAUGAUUGA